rnacentral:rRNA from 1 species
GACGAACGCUGGCGGCGUGCUUAACACAUGCAAGUCGAGCGGUAAGGCCCUUUCGGGGGUACGACGAGCGGCGAACGGGUGAGUAACACGUGGGUGACCUGCCCUCAGCUCUGGGAUAAGCCUGGGAAACUGGGUCUAAUACUGGAUAUGACUCCACGGUGCAUGUCGUGGGGUGGAAAGCCUUGUGCGGCUGAGGAUGGGCCCGCGGCCUAUCAGCUUGUUGGUGGGGUGAGGCCUACCAAGGCGACGACGGGUAGCCGGCCUGAGAGGGCGACCGGCCACACUGGGACUGAGACACGGCCCAGACUCCUACGGGAGGCAGCAGGUGGGGAAUCUUGCGCAAUGGGCGAAAGCCUGACGCAGCGACGCCGCGUGAGGGAUGAAGGCUCUCGGGUUGUAAACCCCUUCAGGAGGGACGAAAAUGACGGUACCUCCAGAAGAAGCCCCGGCCAACUACGUGCCAGCAGCCGC